ACCUGAUGUUUUUAAUGCAGAAUUCAAUGAGGCCAUGGAUUUGCUUUCAGUGAAUGCCAAUGCCACCACCACUCCUAGUGUUAGUGAGCAGCAAGGCUACACCACCCUGAAUAUGUCUUCUGGCUAUAAUGAAGAACCUGAGCCAGAGGAAGAGGAUGAUAAAACUGAGCUGCUGAGUUCCCAGAAGAAGCAGUCCAGUUUCUGGACCUUUGAAUAUUACCAAACAUUCUUUGAUGUUGACACAUAUCAGGUGCUGGACAGGAUAAAGGGGUCAGUUUUUCCAGUGCCAGGGAAGAAUUUUAUAUGGCAUCGCUUGCGGAACAACCCUGACCUGUAUGGACCCUUCUGGAUUUGUGCCACCUUGGUCUUCACACUGGCAAUCAGUGGCAAUUUAUCUAACUUCCUGGAGAAAAUGGGCAGCCCUUCCUUCCAUUACAGCCCCCAGUUCCAUAAAGUGACUAUUGCGGCAGUAGUUAUCUACUGCUAUGCCUGGCUUGUUCCCCUUGGCCUGUGGGGUUGUCUGCAGUGGCGGAGGGGAACUCACAUCCAUGCAGACUCCUACACACUCUUGGAGAUGGUGUGCAUCUAUGGCUACUCCCUGUUUGUGUACAUUCCCACUGCGGUCCUAUGGUUGAUCCCAGUGCCAUGGUUGCAGUGGCUCCUCAUCAUAUUUGCAAUGGGGCUGUCUGGCUCAGUUCUGGUCCUCACUUUCUGGCCAAUUAUCCGCUCAGACACCAAGCUCGCUGCCUGUGCCAUACUGGCUAUCAUUAUUUCGCUCCAUAUCCUCCUGGCUAUUGGCUGCAAGCUAUAUUUCUUCCAGAAACCAAUCGCCGCCACCACUCCCCCCCCUGCCCUCCAUACAACAGCAGUCCAGCAUAGCAGAAGCACACACCCUCACCAGACCAACAGCUCAGCCAAUCUGUCAAUGUGAAGGAGGAUGCUGGCAAAAGUCUCAGUACAGUAGGUUCUGAAAAUGCUGUGGCUCUCAAACACUGUCUUUUCUGAAGACCCCACCACCCUACUGAUGAAAAUAGUGGAACCAGGAUUUUGAUUAUGAAUGUCUUGCCUCAGGAAAGCCCAGGGACAGAGGAGAGUGCACAAAUGCAAAAGUAAUCCAGCUCAAGAGGCAACACCUGGCCUGGGACAAGGAGGCUGCAGUGGGUCAAUCUAUAUCCCACCACCAUUUCAAUAUUUGCCAGUCAGGGCAGCAAGGUGUCCAAUUCAGAAAUCAGUGAAGAGGUCUGGCAGCUUAGAUCAUGAAGUGCUGCGUUUUGCUCCCUCACAGCAGGAUGGGACUGCAGCAGUGACAUGAGACUGAAGAAAGGAGCUGUGUGGAGCAUUGACUGUUAUGUCCCUUCUAGGUAAACCUAAGAUUUUUAUAUGUUUUGUCUGUAACAGUAGGGAAAGAUGUGAAAAUAAGUCAAAUGAAUUUGUGCACAUCCUGCUGUCUGUUGAGGAAUGACAGAUUAUCAACUGUAGAAGUAUCAGUAUGUCACUGGGUGGACGGGAAGGAGGGUUAAGGACUACUUUGAUACAAUGUGUUGAUUUUGUUUUCUAUGCAAAUCUAAUAUAAAUUAAACUGUCUUCUAACAGUA